rnacentral:lncRNA from 1 species
GGGCAGGACAGGGCAGGAGGAGGAGGCGAUUCGAGGGGUGUCCAAGCUCUUGGUGUCCAGGGCAACUGAUUGCUGGGUCUCCCGGGACCAUCUCCUGAGACACCACGUGAGUAGUUGCUUCUUAGGAUACUCCAUCUCGGUGGAGGAAGGGAGAAGAGUCCACCUGCUGGCUCCCUUCUCCCGUUAGACACAGGGCCAUCUCAUUGGGGAGUGAACCUGGUGCUUCUUGGUGGCUUAUGUUUCAGCAACAACAAAGAAGUCCCGAGCCAGGAAGUGAAAGGAAGCAGCACAGAGGGCUCCGGGCAUGAACAAACCUGCUUCAACUUGUAAAGCAUGAAACCAGGGCGGCCAUUGCCACAGCCAAGAGUACCAGGGAUCGGGGAGGCUGAAAGGAUCUCACGGGCGCUUAAAAGUAAUUGUUUGUCUCAGUCUGUUCAGGCUUCUGUAAAAAAAAAAAAAAAAAAAAAAAAGAAUACCAUAUACCAGGAGGCCAAAACAGCUAAUAUUUAUUUCUCAUAGUUUUGGGGGCUGAAAGUCCAAGACCAAGGUGCUGGCAGAUUCAGUGUCUACGACAAGCCUGCUUCCUGGUAUAUAGAUGGCUGUCUUCUCACUGUGACCUCACGUGGCAGAAGGGGCAAGAGAGGUGUCUGAGGCCUCUUUUAUGAGGACAUCGAUCCACCCUCAUGACCUCACGACCUCCCCAAGGCCUCACUCCCUAGUACCGUCACCUUGGGAAUUAAGCGUCAACCUAUGACCUUUGAGGCACAAACAUUCAGCCCGUAACACUGUGACUGUCUCUUAAGAUCGAGCUUUACAUUUUUCUCAGGGACUGCGCUUCUGCCCCUCAUCCCAGUCUGCGGAUUCGGUUCCUGCCACUUUCUUUCAAACCUCCCUGGUGCUGACAGUUCCUGCCAAGACCCAUAACAUCGUCUGCCUUCCGGUGCAUCCUGCCCAUCGAGACCUGUCAAUACCCCCCAUCUCCAACCUAUUCCUGUGGGUGGACCUCUGUAAAGCCGGCCUGUUGAAGGUCAUGCCAGCCUCUUGCAAGACUCCCUCGCACCCCCGCCAGGCAGAUUCCAUCCCUCCCCUUCUUGUGUGCCACCAACAUCUGCUUGCUCCGGUGGCCGAGACCGCCACCAGGCAUGGCCUUCUGCUCUCCCCAACUGGGAACACACUGUCCCUUCACAUCUGAACCGAGGAGGAGACAAAAGCUAGAAAAAACCGGCUGACCCCAACCGGCAUCGCAAAUAGGCUAAGGUACCACCAAGGCGCCACUGACCCCUGAGUCCAGCUUUCUGCCCACAUGGUUGCUGAACCUGAC